AGCAGCCGCGGUAAUUCCAGCUCCAAUAGCGUAUAUUAAAGUUGUUGCAGUUAAAAAGCUCGUAGUUGAAUUUCGGGAUUGACGUGACGGUCGUGCCUUAAGGGGUAUGAACUGUUACAGUCAAUUUCUCACCUUCUGGAGAAAUAUGAUGUCCUUAAUUGGGUGUCAUAUGGAACCAGGACUUUUACCUUGAAAAAUUAGAGUGUUUAAAGCAAGCUUAUUGCUCGAAUACAUUAGCAUGGAAUAAUAAAAUAGGACGGCAUGAUUCUAUUUUGUUGGUUUCUAGGAUCACCGUAAUGAUUAAUAGGGAUAGUUGGGGGCAUUAGUAUUCAAUUGUCAGAGGUGAAAUUCUUGGAUUUAUUGAAGACUAACUACUGCGAAAGCAUUUGCCAAGGAUGUUUUCAUUAAUCAAGAACGAAAGUUAGGGGAUCGAAGACGAUCAGAUACCGUCGUAGUCUUAACCAUAAACUAUGCCGACUAGGAAUCAGACGAUGUUAAUUUU
rnacentral:rRNA from 1 species